GUACUCUCUUCAGAAGUAUAUUUACUAAAAUUGGAAUAAUAGAGAAGAUUAGCAUAACUCCUGC
rnacentral:snRNA from 1 species